rfam:Schistosoma mattheei strain Denwood, Zambia genome assembly, scaffold: SMTD_scaffold0001580
AUCCAGCUGACUAGUCCCAAAUAGGAUGAAACCCGUGUCCUGGAU